GUGUCCAUCCCGAAGCAAUCGGGCUCCCUUCUAUGUCUUAGUACAUGUCGACCCUUGCAUCUUGUAUUAUUGCAUUAUAGGAUGAUUGUGCAUUGCCUUUCCUUAUGCUUUUCUUGAUGAUAUCGUAGCAUGUAUUGGAUACUUGACAUAGUAGUGGAUCGAUAAGGAUUGGGUCGAGACUUGUGAAUCCUAUAGUGCAAAGAAAGAGAUGGGCUCGACGGUUGGUCUAAUGUUAAACAAAGAACGAGUGGCAUCUAGUUGAUAGCAAACAAAUGAACGAGUGGCAUUUAGUUGAUAGUAAGCAAAAGAACAAAUGACACAAAUGAGUCGUAGUGUAUGUGAAACCUAUGGACUAUAUGAUGAUUGUAACCCUAGAGGAUAGGGUAUUCUCGAGAUGAGGAUUGGAUUAUGCUCACGGUCUGUUUUAAAUCUUGUGAUGGAAGCCCCACACAAGUAGUGCNUGUAAGGAAGUGAAUUCUCGAAACUCGAGGAUUAGACUUCGAUUAGAAUCGACUAGUGGUCGAGUGUGUAAUCUUCGGAAAGUCCGAAGGUGAUCUUAAUGCGUAAAGUGCAUUAAGGAGAGGCCCGCGAGAGCACCAGUGCAAAACUUGCACUGGAGCAGAAAUGCUCUCGGGGACCUGUCCCUGGCAGGAAGGGACCGGUUCCAUCAGGCUGGGCUGCGGGGGUCUCUGAUGAGACCGGUCCCUGGUGGUGAGGGACCGGUUCCCGAACGUUGGCCCAGCGAAAAUAGCCGAAAUUUGGCUAAGUCCCGAAAAUUCAGCUUUCGGGAACCGGUCUCUCGGACAAGGACCGGUCUCCCGGGGACCGGUCUCUCAAGCAAGAACCGGUUCCCGAACGCGAAAUCCCUUCUGCUUGAAAUGGCAGCCUUCGGGGACCGGUCUUCCCGAGCUGGGACCGGUCCCUCACUCCGAAAAUGGCCAGGGAGGGCUGUUGCAGGGAAUGAAAAGUUGAGGGGGCUAACUGCAAGAUGGCCUUUAAUAGAGGUGGGGGAUUCCUCUCUUUCCCUCAUUGCUCUCUAACUCUCUCACUCUUUCCUCUCUCUCUAGGAAAGAAAAGAAAAGAAAGAAGGAAAGAAAGAAGAAGAAGAGGAAGGAGAAGAAGGGAAGAAAGAAGAAGAAAGAGAAGGAGAAGACUAAGAAGAAGAGGAAAGUCAUCUUCUCUCCCUCUCCCUCAAGCUUGGAGCUUAGGUUAGAGGUAAGCUUCCAACCCUUUAAUGGAAAUUCUAGGGUUUUGGGUUUUUAUGGUUUAGAAUUGGUUCAAAUGGAACCUAUUGGGAAUAAAUAGAUGGUUCGAGCUCAAAAUCGAAGCUCGCACCAUGGAUUUCCCUCUCGUCGCCAUUCUAGGGCACGGAUUGGGAUUUUGGGAAAUUUAGGGUUUUGAUCUAUCUUAAUAGGUCGUAAACCAAAUUGCUAGGUCUCGAAACGCGUCGGCGAAGACGGUUUGCCGAUCCGACGAGCGGGUGCGGAGUUAUCGCCGAAUCGGGUACUCGAGGGCUCGCUUUGCCCCGAGGAGUUUAAGCGGCGUGCAAGAACCGCAACGUCGAGCUUUCUACUAUCGCGGCAUCGCCAAGAGGUGGGUGGUGUCCAUCCCGAAGCAAUCGGGCUCCCUCCUAUGUCUUAGUACAUUUCGAUUCUGCAUCUUGUAUUAUUGCAUUAUAGGAUAUUAUGCAUUGCCUUUCCUUAUGCCUUCCUUGAUGAUAUCGUAGCAUGCAUUGAAUAUUUGAUAUAGGGGAUUGAUAAGGAUUGGGUCGAGAUUGUGAAUCCUAUAGUGCAGAGAAAGUGAUGGGCUCAACAGUCGGUCUAAUGAUGAACAAAGAACGAGUGGCAUCUAGUCGAUAGUAAACAAAUAAACGAGUGGCAUUUGGUUGAUAGUAAGCAAAAGAACAAUGAUACCUAUGAGUCGUAGUGUAUGCGAAACCUAUGGACUAUAUGAUGAUUGUAACCCUAGAGGAUAGGGUAUUCUCGAGACGAGGAUUGGAUCAUGC
rnacentral:lncRNA from 1 species